GCAUGGUGGUAGUGGUUUGAGCAUUGGACUGUGACUCUGGAGACCAGGGUUCGAAUCCUUGCUCAGGCA